GGAGAGGUGCCAGAGCGGUUUAAUGGGACAGUCUCGAAAACUGUUGUGUGGGUGACUGCACCGAGGGUUCGAAUCCCUCUCUCUCCGCCA
rnacentral:tRNA from 1 species